CUUUUUCAUAUUUAGCCAUGGAGUUGUCAGUUUAUUUUAGAUUUAUGAGUUUGACUGUCCCUUUGGUAUCUUUCGUCCCUUUUCUAUAUAAAAAACGAGAAACGAGAAACAAGCAUGAUUUGUAAACAUAUGUUGAUUUAUUGAUGAGAAACGUAUUUUGCCUUUGACUAUUGUGUCGUUAGAUGUGUGCAUGUUUAAGAUUUGUUGCUUUCUAGUAAUAUAUUCAUAAACUUCUGUGUAUGCUUAUUCUUUGUAAUUUUUGUGUUAUAUAUA
rnacentral:lncRNA from 1 species